UACCAUCUACCAACAAGGCAACAACUCUGCGACGCUGUCCAUCCAAGCAGCAGAGGAGAAGGAGGAGCUGCGAGCUCUCCAGUUUCACAUGGAUGGAGGAUGGAGCUAGUUCUUGGGCUUCGGAUUAGCGGGGUGGCAUAUACAUAGUAUGUAUACUCGUGAGUCGUGAUCGAUCAUGCUAAAGCGUCCGAUCAAGCCUGGCGUCACCGCUGGGACACGUGUAAUCCCUAGCUUGGUGGCAUGACGAUGGAGCGAAGCUGGCUCUCACGCAGGUGCCGAUCAGUACCAGAAUGUGCAUUAGUCAACCAACUCCUCCGAGGGAUCAGUACCAGAUUUCAAAAAGCUGUCGUCCCUUUCAAGCAGAAUGUGCAUUUUUGUAAUUUGUUUGACUGGUUGCAUUCCUUAUGACAAGAGCUGGUAACGA